UAUAUUAUAAAAAAAAAUGUACAUUUAAUUUAUCAGGUGAUACACAAAAUCUGAGCAAUGGCGAAUCCUCUGUAAUGCAACUUGCGAGAAGCAUUUUAAACACACCUCUAAAUACUACUAGUAAUGAAGAAUUGAACCACGGAAAUAUGACGGUUUUUUUUUUAUUUUUGGCAGUUCUUAUAAUUUUUAUGUAUACAUAUCUAAUUGUUUUACGUUGCCUAGAUCGAUUUUUUUAUGGACAACACAAUGGAAACAAUAUGCCAGUUUUAUUUAAUAGAAAUGGUGGGCAAAACGGAGGAGGAGGAGAGGGAAAUGCUCUACUACCUGAGGAUUUUUAUGAUCGUCAUAGAGGAUAAUAAAAUGGACAUUUCUAAGCAUACAGUAAACAUAAUGAUGUAUUUAAUUAACAUUUUGUUAUAAAUGUCACUACUAAAAAUGAAACUUGACAAACCAACAUGAUCGUACAUUAAUAUCAGGAAAGGACAACAGUUUAUACAAAAACUUAUAAGUAUAUAGUAGUGAUACAUCAAAUUAGCAAUUUUUAUAUUAUAUUAGUACAUGCAAAGUUUUGUAAAAAAAAAAAAAAAAAAAAAAAAAAAAUUAUAUGAAUAUUGGAUAUAAUUGUGGUUUAUUAUGUUUGCUCAUGGUUAUUAUUACAGGAAUGUUUGAUCAUUUUGUGUUGAUUAUAGUUUCACUUUGUGAAUAUAUGUCCAGCACAAAAUUAUCAUUAUUUUAAAUAGUUUUUUUUUAUUUUUAUAUUUUAUUUUUGCUGUGUUUGAAUUUGUUAGGAUUGUUGUUCACUAAUUUAAUUUUUGCAUCAAUUGAAGGUGAGUUCAUUUAUGUUCUAUUUUAUUUUAUUUUAUUAUUUUUUUUUUUUUUUCUAUGCUACAUUAAUUGAGUUGUGCCAUUUUACAUAUGUUGAAAUGUAUAAUUAAAUGUGAUAACUUUUUUUUUUUUUUUUUCGUUUUGCUUUUUACAUAUAAAAACAAAACUUAUGGUUAUAUAUUAUAAAUAGACG
rnacentral:lncRNA from 1 species